CCAUCCGCCGUCCCCAGGAAGUGGAAGGACGGGGCGGGCAGGAGAAGAGGGAGGGAAGGAGGGGACGAGGGGCGGGAGCGGCGGGGAAAAAAACAGAAAGUGAAAACUGAACCGGAAAGACAGCGAGGGGCCGCCCGCGGGUUUUCCUGUUCCCGCGGUCACCGGCCCUUGGCUGCCCGUAGGCGGCUUUUCCUCUUCCGUGCCGGCCCUCGGCGCUGCUCGCUCGCUCCGAGCUCCUGCCGCGGCCAUCGGUGUUUGUCCUUGGUGGGGACCUUGCCCCAGGCUUGCUCUGACCUCCUCCUCCAUCGCCUCAGCCCCUCCAUGCCUGACUUCAGCUCUUCCCGCUGUCGUCCCUCACAUCAUGGGGAGAGACUCCUUUCUUUCCUUCCCCCUCAGUGUUCUCCCUCUUUUGUGUCUCCCCCAGUUCCUCCCCGACCAGCUCAGUGAUUGUUCGGCUCUUCCCGCUGCUCCUUCCCGCAUUUUCCUGCUUUGAGCUCUCAGUUCCUUCCCCAGAGCCAUGUUUUGGGCCUUCCUUCAGUCCCCAAACUCCUUUCCUUGUCCCCUCACAUCAUGGCCAGGGCUCCUUUUCUCACCUCGCUCUUCUCCCCUCAGUAUUUUCCCUUAGUUCCUUGUUUAGGACCUUCCCUCGGUCCCAUAACCCCAUUUCCUCACCUUGAGUUCUUUUCCUCACUUCAGAUCUUCCCCCUCAGUGUUUUCCCUCAGCUCCUUGUUUUGGGCCUUUCCUCAAUCCCAAAUUUCCUUAUUCCCUCACACUUCGCACCAUGGCCAGAGCACCUUCCCUCACCUCAGUCCUUCCCCCUCGGGAUUUUUCAGUUCUUGCUGGCAGAGAAAAAGCUGGAAUUCUUGCUGAGACGGAAGUACGUUCCUGAUUGCCCUUUAAAGGGGGGAAAAUCAACAGCCUCGAGCUAAGAGAUGUGAGGAGAUUCUGGGAAAUCCCAAGAGCAGAUCUGCAGUCAGAACAUCCAAGUUUCCACCUCCAGUGGGAUCAUUCCCAUCCCAGUAUUCCCAGUAAUCUCAUCCCAGGAACCCCUGCACCCCAUCCCAGUGUUCCCAGUUCCCCCAUCCCAGUCCCCCCAGUAAUCCCAUCCCAGUGUCCCCAGUUCUCCCGUCCCAGUAUCACCACCCCAGUCUCCCCAGUACCCCCAUUCCAGUAUCCCCAUUAUCCUCACCCCAGUAUCCCCAGUUCCCCCAUCCCAGUAUCCCCAGUAUCCCCAUCCCAGUAUCCCCAGUUCCCCCAUUCCAGUUCCCUCAUUCCAGUAUCCCCACUAUCCUCACCCCAGUAUCCCCAGUAUCCCCAGUAUCCCCAGUAUCCCCAGUAUCCUCAUCCCAGUAUCCCCAGUUCCCCCAUCCCAGUAUCCCCAGUAUCCCCAUCCCAGUAUCCCCAGUUCCCUUAUCCAAGUAUCCCCAGUUCCCCCAUCCCAGUAUCCCCUGUUCCCCCAUCCCAGUAUC
rnacentral:lncRNA from 1 species